CGAGGAGCUGCUCUGCCCUGUUGAUUGGCUGAACCUGGUGUGACAUCACAGAGGGAAACACGCCUGGUUGACACGUUACAGAUCAGCUGGGACUCUUUUAUCUGAUGGACAAUACACACUGCACCGCCGGUCACGUGACCUGCAGCAGCCAAUCAGAGGAGGGGGAGGAGACCAGAGUCUGAACAGGUUUACUGGAGCAGAAGAAGAUGACCUGAGGGCAGGUGAGUGUGUGUUAUCUUCAAACUGACCAAUCACAGUGAGAGCUGCUGAUGAUGUAAAUGAGCCACAUGUCAGAGAGUUUCUGUGUUUAUGUUCAGGACAUUUAAAGGAGCAAUUCAACAUUUAACAUUUUUACACUUUUUCAUCUCUGUGUGUCCAGUACAGAGGAAACAACACAUGAUAGAGACAGAGAUAGGCACAGGACUUGUUUAGCUUAGCUUAGCACAAAGACUGAAAGCAAGGGGAAACUGUUAGCCUAGCUUCGUCAAAGCCCAAAUUCCACAGUGUGUUUCUACUAAACCUCCAGCUAGUGGUGGUCAUCGCUGAUCUACAUGUAAAAGUUUAGAGUUUAUUAAAAAUAUGAAAUAUGAGCUGAUACCACACCAGCCGAAUUUACCAAAACAUCAAAUAAUUUUGUAAAAUGUGUCAAAUUUUAUUUUCACAAAAUUGGCAGAUUUCAACUAAUUGGUUGAGAUUGUUGUUGCUGUAUACAGCCUGAGAAAAAGACUGCAGACACUACUCAGGGCACAAAAAACCACUGCAAGCUCCUCUGCAC